AGGUUAUGAUCUGCCCUCUCUGGGCUGAGGCGCCAAGACCACUUGCCUUUGUUCCCAGCUCCCUGCCUGGGAUGCUGGCAGCCAGACCUCAGCCCCGCCCUGCAUGGCAGGAGCUCAGGGCUGUGUCGCAAUGUGACUAAUGGAUGAGAAGGUUGAGGAGGAAAGCCAUUACUUCACCAAUGUGAAUCAAGGUCAUUAGUCACCUCGGGAAGCACGCGGAGCUGCGACGUUCAGGAGGGAGGCACGCUGCUCCUGAGCCAAGCCACGGUGUGGCCUGGCACUGGUCCCAUGCAGCAGGGAGAAGGGGAGCUUCUGGAAGUGAGGAUGAGCCGGGCUGCCAGGCCUAGGACCCUGGCCAUGUGUGCAUCCGCCCCUCCCGAGAAAAAGAGCCCAAGUUCUGUGUGGGGUCACGAGGGGGGCAAUGGUGCAGUCCCCAGGAGGUGUCGGCAGGAGCUGACUGGCCACCAUCUCUGGCGGCGGUCUCCUGGGGACGGUGACUGGAGGAUCAGCAGCCUCUGACCACUGGUGUCACCUGAGGAAAUCAGGCCAAUCAUGAGCCACCAGAAUGUCCUCUCCCUAGUGUAGCAAGCCACACUCGCUGCCUUUCUGGGAGAGUUCGAAGCAAGCCACCUGGGCAGGUUCUUUCCAAAGUUCCCCGCCUCAGAGGAGGAAGCUCCAUGGGUGGAGGCCAGGCCUGAGGCCAUCCUGCUCUGGGCCAGAGAGUACCUGUGUCUGAGGAGCGAGGACAUACCUCGUCUGGCUGAGCCUUCAUUUCACACCGGCAGCCUGAAUCCCCCAGCAUGGCUUGCUUUCGGGCUCCCCUCCCCUGGGGCCCGACCCUGAAAUGCGCUUGUCCUUUAUCCCUCAGGUCUGUGUCCCUUCCUCAGAGAGGAAAAAGCUAGCCCCUUCCCCAGUCUUCGGGUUCUCCGAGGCCCUUCUUAUUCGCAGAAUGCAUCUGGCCUAUUUAUUUGCUUGCUUGCUUCUGAUGUCUUCUCUUGCUGAAAGGUAAGUUAGGUGGGAAAAGGAAUCAGGCCAGCUUUGGUUCACCCGUUCCAUCCUCCACACCUUUCUUUUUUGAUGUGUUUACUUAUUUGAGAGUUGGAGUCUUUCUCUUCACUGAGGCUGGAGUGCAGUGGCACAAUCAUAGCUCACUGCAGCCUCGAACUUCUGGACUUGAGUGAUCCUCCUGCUUCGGCCUCCUGAGUCACUAAGACUACAGGUGUGCAUCAUCACCAUGCUUGGCUGAUUAAAAAAAUAGUUUUAAUAGAAAAGGUAGUUGUUUUAAUACAAAAGUUACGACACGUGGUAGUGUGAACCUGCAGUGCCAGCCACUGAGGAGGCUGAGGUGGGAGGACCACUGGAGCUCAGGAGAUUGAGUCUGAGUGAGCUGAGAUUGCACCACUGCAUUCCAGCCUGGCAACAGAGUAAGACCCUGUCUCAAAACAAUUUUUUUUUUUUUUUUUUUUGGUAAACGUGGGGUCUCACUAUAUUGCUCAGGCUGAUCUUGAACUCCCGGGCUCAAGAGAUUGUUCCGUCUCAGCCUCCAGUGUCACUGGGAUUACGGGUGUGAGCCACUGAGCCUGGCUCCCCUCAAAACUUUUUGUGGAGCCUGACACCAGGGAAACCCAAUAUCUAUCCUUUGAAUGAAUGAAUGAAUGAAUGAAUGAAUGAAAGGAAGUAAAUGAAGAGGAGGUGGAGGUUAGAAGGGGCACAUUUUAGAUGAGUAGAUACCAUGCAAAGACCCUCCUGGGUGCCAUCACCAGUGCGGGGCAGCCCAUGAGCCCCCAGAGGGAGGUCUCCCUGACACCCUGGCAGCUCAGCCUGGGGCCAAGCAGGAGUCACAUCCAAGGGCUGGGUGAUUAUCUGAUGAAUGAGUGGGUUGUGUGGAUGAGUAAACAGGGACUGACCCAGAGGUCGGGUGUAAUUCAGCCUCUGAAACUGCAUGUGUCAAUAUGAACCGAAGGGCCCAGGAAUGUGUUUUCUGUUGAUGUCAACUUGCUGCAAAGGACCACACCUGCUUCUCGGUCCAGGAACGUGGGAAAGGGAAAGGCAUGGUUUGUUUUGGUGGAGAUGGAGGAGCUGGUAACAGCGGAGGGAUGCCCUUCUUCUGAUUCAGAGCGGGGAGGUGCUCUGGGCCCCUGCCACUGCCUGAUUGGGUAAGUCAGCCCAUGGCCCCCAGCCCUUCCCUGCCAGACGCCCUGGCAGACGGCUUGUUCUGACAAGUACGUGCUUUCUGGAUGGAACAGCCUCCCUUUUGUCCAAACCCUUCCUUUGAAUUUAAAACAUUCCUCUGCCUUUGAAGAGGAAAGGAAUGCGAUCAGGAAGAGGAGGCUGUAUCUUGUUUGGACACUCAAGCCCUCAGCUCCUGCCCAGAGAGUUUCUGUAAUUUCGCUCCCACACCACGUCAUCCCUUUCAGCGCCCGGCCGGGUGCUGUGGCAUCCAUGGCUUCAUCCUUCUGGGAAGUCGGGGUUGCGUUCCCUUGAAUCUUCUCCCUUUCCUCUCCCCAGCUUUUGGUUGUCCUGACAAGAGGACGUGGCAUUUGAGCAGUGGCUUCUGGUGCCCAGAGUGAAGCCCCACCCAGGCACCCUGACAUGACUUUGGGAACGUUCCUGGCACAGCAAGCAGCACUCUGGAGAAGUGCAGCCUCCAUGCUCCUUGUCGAUUUCAGUUUGAACUCCACAGUUUGUGUGACUCAUCGAGGGGUUUGGUUUGGCUCUCGCUGAUGAGUCUCUCAUCGAUGGCAGGUGACAUGCUUGUCCUCUCCUCCCCUCGAGUCCUCUCUCUUGCCCCAGGGCUUCUGGUGGCGAGGUUUGACCUCCUCUUCAUAAGCAGCGUGAGGGCUACUGUGCUGCCCGCUGGCCCACGCUCCAGUAUUGUCUUUGAGGUGGGUACGCUCAUUCCCUUGUAAUGUGCUCCAAAGCGUAAGCCCAGGGGAGCCAUGAGACAGGGAACCCAUGUCUGUUUCUCCAUUUGGUGUAGAAUGCUGGUGGGCGUUUGCCAGACAGGGCCUAUCAUGCGGGCCCUACACCUGUUCACACACCUGCCAUUUUCUUUCAGAAUCCUGUUCCCAGUGAGAAAUGGGUUUAAAAGCCCAGAGCUGUGUUCUAUCCACAUUGGAUCUGACCUACAUUCCAAUGCUCCUUAGCUCCCGGGUUUCGCCAGGUUAGCCAGGCUGGUCUCAAACUCCUGACCUCAGGUGAACCAUCCACAUUGACCUCUCAGAGUGCUUGGAUUACAGGUGUGAGCUACCUCGCCAGGCCAGAAA